rnacentral:rRNA from 1 species
CCUACGGGUGGCAGCAGUGAGGAAUAUUGGUCAAUGGGCGCGAGCCUGAACCAGCCAAGUAGCGUGAAGGAUGACUGCCCUACGGGUUGUAAACUUCUUUUAUAAAGGAAUAAAGUGAUGCACGUGUGCCUUUUUGUAUGUACUUUAUGAAUAAGGAUCGGCUAACUCCGUGCCAGCAGCCGCGGUAAUACGGAGGAUCCGAGCGUUAUCCGGAUUUAUUGGGUUUAAAGGGAGCGUAGAUGGGUUGUUAAGUCAGUUGUGAAAGUUUGCGGCUCAACCGUAAAAUUGCAUUUGAUACUGGAAGUCUGGAGUACAGAUGAGGUAGGCGGAAUUGGGGGUGUAGCGGUGAAAUGCUUAGAUAUCACGAAGAACUCCGAUUGCGAAGGCAGCUUACUAAACUGAAACUGAAAUUGAUGCUCGAAAGUGUGGGUAUCAAACAGGAUUAGAUACCCGGUAGUC